AUGGCAGACGCCCCUCACGAGCCCCGCGAAGCCACCGACAGCUCCACACCCGAGGCGGCCGACGACUUCGAGUUCCGCGUCCUGUCCACCGGCGGCCUUGUCUCGGCCGGCGCGGCCGCGGCCGACGACAUGUGCGUGGCCGACGAGCUCUUCUCCCACGGCAAGCUCCUCCCGCUCCGCCCCUCGUCAACCGCCUCCGCCGACGCCCCCACCGUUGUCCUGCUUCCGCGGUCCGAGUCCGUCGCGUCCACCGCGGGCUUCGGCUCGCGCUCCGACUGCCGGAGCGCGAGUUCCAGCGGCAGCAGCAGCGGCUGCGUCAGCCGCAGCCACUCGUCCAAGAGCGCCUCCUCCGACCACGCCGCCGCGCCGCCGCGGAGGUCCCUGUCGAGCAGCCUGUUCUACGCGCACCCGAGCCCGUCGCCGCAGCUGCGCUCGCGGCCGCGCCGGAGCACGGGGUCGGCCCCGCCGCCCGCCGGGUGGGGCAUCAUACGCCUCGGCGUCGUCGGCGCCCCGGACGUGUACCCGCCGCGCUGCGCCGAUGGGGCCAAGAUCACCGCCGCGUCGAGAGGCGGCAGCGGCAGGAGCGCUAGGUUCGAGCAGGCCGCCAGCGCCAUUGAGAGGAGCUUCAGGAAACAUGGCGCGGGGCUGUUCGGUGACGGCUUCGGAUGCAAGUGCUCGCCGGACGUCGUCGAGUCCGUCAAGCUGCCUCCGGCAUCGAGGAAAAGCGGACUCGCGGAUGGGAACGUCAAGAGAGGCCGCGGCGGGCGUCGCAUCAGGAUCCUGGACUGGCUCGAAGAGCUGUCCAUCACCAAGGCGAGGAAGUAA
rnacentral:rRNA from 1 species